CUAGAGAACAGAGCAGAGAAGUGGUUCCAUGCCCAGUGGGAGCUGAGAAGGAAAGAAGGAAAACAAGUUGUCUCUUCUUCUUUCUAAGAACCCUGAAUCUUUCAUUGAAGCUCUUUGUUCACCUACUUUGUUUGGACACCAUGACUAGGACCCAAAGUAAACAGUCUCUAAUGGGCUUCUCCAUUCUUCAGCCAUAAAAAUAUCCACAUCCUUUCCAAGCCCUGGUUUUCAUGCUUGAGUCAACUCAACAUCUGGAAUCAAAGAAUGAAUUUGAAGAGCAACAUGGCUUUGGAUUCAGACUUCCCAGCUUCAGAUGAUUUCCCAUCUUCAAACUAUAUGUGGAAUUUGGC